UUUGGAGUGUUUUCCUCUUGUCCUUUAGAGAAAGUCAAAUAUUUGUCACUGAGUUAUCUCAUAAUUUGUGAUUCUAUUAAAUUAUCCCAACUUGGUAAAAAAUAGUCACAUUGACCUGCCUUGUCUUGCUGUGUUGUUAUGGGGAUUGAAGGGAUAGAGACAGGUGGUGUAAAGGCUGGCCUACUCCAUUAACAUCCAGCAGCGAGAGCUGCUUUCAGGAGCUGCUGGAAGUGACUGUAGCAAAAUGAAUGGAGAUCCAUGAGGGAGUUAGUUAAGAACAGGGAAAAACAGCACUGGGGAGCAGCUUCAGAAGACAUAGGAUCUAAGCUCUGACUUCCCUACUCCUUUAGAAGAUACUGACUCUUGAAAGUGGAGAGGCUAAUGUGGGAGUUCUUUGACAAUGACCCUCUCAGAAUGUGGUCCCAAAAAGUUGCCUGAUCAGCUACAAAUGGUGAGGACAAUACAGCAUGAAUGAGUAUAUGCCCAGGUUGGUGUAGAAAUAAUUAUGUUUACGUAAAUAUACAGGUACACAAAUACUUGAAUUUUGUUCUUGCUGGUGAGUUCAGAUAAUACAAGUCUCAGGAAAGAUUUCUCAAAUUGCUUAGUUUCCGUUUCUUUACCCCCCGCCCUUUUUUUAAAAUCUACCCUUUGAGUUCCUAAGUUCCUUCUUUUAUUACAUUUGCUGACAUAUGUUUAAAUGCUAUGAUUCUUACUGUGUUGGUCCUGGGGAUUGGGCCUCUCUCUGAGGUUUUUCAUUUUAUUGAGAUUCCUCUUAAGGUUAUUUGCCUAUCUGGGGCUACUGUUCGUGAGAGGAAGUAUGACAAGUCACAACCAUGUUCGGGUUUCAUUUUAAGAUGUUUUAAGGAAGAGGUGAAAAGGAUUUUUUUAACAGAGCAGAUUUCUUAAUAUGACUUCAGAGACCACUUACGCUGAAUUGAGUUUCAAAGAUGAAUCCAAGUCCUCAGGCACCAAAUCAUGGCCUCCUGCAGGAACCUCUAUACUGGUUUCCACAGCGGCUGCUCCAGUUUACAUCCCCACUAACGCUCCCAAAGAGAAGACCAACCCACACAAAAGUAACCCCAGUUUUCCCAAGUUACUUUUUGCCGUAUUCCUGGUACUUCUGCUGCUAUUGACAAUCUCAUUUUUUAUCGCUUUUAUCAUUUUUUUUCAAAAAUAUUCUCAGCUUCUUAAAGAAAAAAAGGCUACAAAAGAACUCACUCACACAGCAUUGGAAUGUAUGAAAGAAAAUUUGACCGAGGAAGAGAAAGAUUGGAGCUGCUGCCCAAAGGAGUGGAAGUCAUUUAGUUCCAACUGCUACUUUAUUUCUACUACAAGAAGAAAUUGGACUGAGAGUGAGAGGAACUGCUUGGAAAUGAAGGCUCACCUGCUGGUGAUCCACACCAAGGACGAGCAGGAUUUUAUCUUCCAGAACCUGGAUAUAAAUUCUGCUUAUUACAUAGGGCUGUCAGACCCAAAGGGAAAAAGAGAUUGGCAAUGGGUUGAUCAAACACCAUACAAUGAAAGUGUCACAUUUUGGCACUCGGGUGAACCCAAUAAUCCUGAUGAGGGUUGUGUUAUGCUAAAUUUUCGUUAUAUAUCAAGAAAAUGGGGCUGGAACGAUGUUCCUUGUAAUGGACAUCACAAGUCGCUUUGCAAGAUGAUGAAGAUCCACUUAUGAAUGGGAACGUUCUGCAUGAACAUGAGGUUGACUUGGUAUCCACCAUUACAGAGAUAGCUAAUUUGUUCUUUUCUAUUCACGUGUAAAUCUUGUGUAAGGAACCUCCGUAGCAUUUUUCAGUAGGCUGUCACCUGUUCCACUUGUGAUAGAACUGGUAUGCACAUCCUCCACGUGUACGGACCGUACUGGAGAGCCUUUUGCAGGUAAUCUCCAGAAUCUUGAUAGAAUCCCAAAGGAUCGUCCCAAGAAGGACUUACAGGAAAUUUCUUAUCCGCCAGUGGUAAUAAGAAACAACAAUAAUAAUCUCGUAAGUUAAAAAUAAUGAGAUGCUGUAUAUCUUGUACAUGUGAAUCUGAAUACCAAAAAUAUCUUCUACACAUUUGUGUGGAAAAAUAUCUGAGUCUAAAUAUCUCUUAGAAGGUAAUGCUUGCUACCAACUGUUGAUUUAAUUGUCUUUAAGUACCAAAGAAGAGAAUCAAACUGGGUCUACUUAGUUCAGUCACGGACAAUAAUUUUCAAAAGGGCAACCCAGUGCUGCUUUGUUGAAAAGGGAUUUCAUACAAAUUGUUGAUUCACUCCUGAUGUCCCCUUUAAAAGAGUUCAAGCCAAAAGAACAAUAUGCACUUUGACUCUAAUACUACGUGAUUUUAUUUACAAUCUAUGUAAGUUAUUAUCUUUUCCAUUGCUAGUUUUUGCUUUACUCCCUUAUUGGACUGAAAUAUCCUGCAUUUAUCUAUACAUCUGAUUUGAACCUACCACAAGUCUGCUUUUGAUCCAAUCUCCCUUCCCCCUAUCAAUUUUUGUUUAUUUUAUUUUGAUGUAUUAUUCCUUUUUGCCUUUGCUCUUACCAUCUCAGCACUCUAGUCAAAGUCUUGCUACUGUAAUCUAGAAAUGUAUACAGGACAAAGGAAUAGAGCACAGGGUUGCCAAUGGUCAAGGCAAAAAGUGACUUGGGGAGCAUACAUUAGAGAUGGGCAAGGAAGCAAAUAGGUCUUUAAAUUGAUUUUCCUAUAUAUAUAUAUGAGGUUUACAAGAAUUGUUUUCUUUGGACCUUCAAAUGAGUUAGUCCUUGGGUUUAUGUUUCUUUAUCUCUGAGGGGAACUGGAAACAGAUGGAGAUGUUUUAUAACCACUUCUCCUUUUCCCCUUAUGACUUGUUGUAUCUUUAACCAACCCCAGGGAAAAUUUUCUGGGGUUCUCAAUAUCUAUUUUAUCAUUAGCUACAACUAUCCCAUCACUUUAAAAGCUUGUUGAGUUCAAUAUGUACCUAUCUAUAGCAGGGUUGGGUUUUUUUUCCCCCUAGAUUGCUCACUUGAGUAUGUGGAGGUAUUUGUGAUAUUAAUAAAGAGAAAGAUCUACAUUCUAGAGAUUAUGUUAUGAAGGAUACCCAAGCCCUUGAGUAAUUAUAAGGAAUCAAUGAAGCCUGUUUUUGAUGUUAUACCCCUUUCAAGCUCCCCCUUUCCUUUUUUUUUUUUGUUGUUGUUAAAAAGAAAUCAUUUUUUAAAAAAGAUUUUAUUUAUUUAUUUGACAGAGAGAGAGACAGCCAGCAAGAGAGGGAAUACAAGCAGGGGGAGUGGGAGAGGAAGAAGCAGGCUCCCAGCGGAGCAGGGAGCCCUAUGCGGGGGCCCGAUCCCAGGAUCAUGCCCUGAGCCGAAGGCAGCCGCUCAACGACUGAGCCACCCAGGCCCCCAAGCUCUCCUUUCCUAGUCAGGGAGAUAAUAAAAGAUUACUAACCUAUGCCCAAUAUUGGUCUUGAUGUAAUAAGAAUGUUUCAUUGCUGUUACAGAUAGAUUCCAGAAUCUUCCAUUUUGCAAUCAUAUUCCUGAACAAUGUCUGUGGAUCUUUAUGUAAUUCCGAUAUUAACCCUUGUUAUUGAAGCUAUAGCUAGUCAAUCAGACUUUUGCUUACUUCCUAAGACACUGUUCAAUACAUGAAUUAAGUUUUCCCUAAAAUCCAAUGUAAAGGUUGACUUGCGUGCACUUAAAUUAAUUAAGACCUACAAAUAAAUUUCUUUUAGGGCAUAUGAAAUUUUCUAUUUUGCAUUCGAGAAUAACUAGGAAUCAGAGAAAUUUUAUGUCAGGAAUUGAACACAUGAUCUGAAUAUUCUUGUCAAAGUUAUAAUGGGCAGUUUUGGAUAUGUGUCUCAAUUUCCUCUUAUAUUUUUCCCAGUAUUUUUAUAUUACUAGAAACUUUAGUCCAGACCACAACUUCUUCAGGGUUCCAGUUUAUACCAGAAGUCUCUUAGCCUUAUAAGAGUGUUUAGCAGUUUAUCUCUGAGCUCUGAUGUUUGAAUGAAGCGGAGUUCUAGUGACAUCUUCUGAGAAGGAGUCUGAGAUAUCUUCUGAAUACAGGGAGCCCACAUAAUGGCAUGAGAAGGGCAACCUUAAGGAAGAAGUGAGCAUUCCUUUUCUCAGUUCCAGAGAAGAAGGUAGAGGCAGAAGUGUAUGAUGAGAUGAUAAAAGUCAUUUGGAGAGAGGGGAUAGACAACAGAUUGAUGGGACAAAGAUUGAACACCCCAGUAAGAGUCAUGGGAAGUUGAAAGAAUAAUUCAUCAGAGCUAGAAGCACUUGAAAGAGUAAGAAACCAAAUAUUAAUACAGUGGUAUAGGAAGAGGGAGACAAAGUGAUGUUUUCAGCAAGACAGGGACUCAAUGCAUUAAUAUAAUAUUUAAGAAGAAAGAAUAAGGAAAUGGAAUUUACAGCUGAGGGUGAGUUUUGCCCAGACUGUUUAGGACUACAGAGCCGCCACCUGUUUGUUUAUUCUGAGGGACUUUCUAAUCUCUCCUCUUGUUCUAGUUUUUUAAUGAGAUU